AAUGUUAUCCAGAAAUCAAGUUUUCUUAGCACGCUUAGCUGUGCCCUGAUUUAAAUAAUAAUAAAAAAGGCACAGCUAAGCAUGCUAAGAAAACAUGAUUUGGUUUGUCAUU